AUGGAGUACCAGCCGAUUGUCUCUACGCUGGACGUGCGCACGGAGCCGAUCACCGUCGAUAUACUCUUCUCCAUGGUGGCCAACUUCGACCAGAGGGUCGAGAUGUUCCAUGGGAACGGCAGCGGCGCCUUCAAGUCGUCGGCGAACGUCGUCUCUCGCGGCCAGCAAGGAGGUAACAAGGGCAACUAUCCCAACCAGAAGGGCAACGGGGGAGGAUCCCAUGGUUCUGGUGGCUACGGCGGCGGCAGUCGCGGUGGCCACAACGGUGGCUAUGGCGGUAACGGCGACGGCCACAACGGUGGCGGCGGUUACUACCAGAACAACAAAGGCGGCGGCGGCGGUGGGGGUUAUCAUGGUGGUGGCGGCGGCUACUAUCACCAGGGCCCUCACAACGGCAACAACAACCCUCGGCGCCCCCAACAGCAACAACAGGGGGCGUAA
rnacentral:rRNA from 1 species